rnacentral:pre_miRNA from 1 species
UUGCUGUGGGCUGUGUGCUAUUAAUGCUAAUCGUGAUAGGGGUUUUUACCUCGGACUGACUCCUACAUGUUAGCAUUAACAGGGCACGGCGCCUGUUACGAGCGUUCGCAU